rnacentral:rRNA from 1 species
UACGUAGGGUGCAAGCGUUAAUCGGAAUUACUGGGCGUAAAGCGUGCGCAGGCGGUUCUCUAAGUCAGAUGUGAAAUCCCCGGGCUCAACCUGGGAACUGCAUUUGUGACUGUAGAGCUGGAGUGCGGCAGAGGGGGAUGGAAUUCCGCGUGUAGCAGUGAAAUGCGUAGAUAUGCGGAGGAACACCGAUGGCGAAGGCAAUCCCCUGGGCCUGCACUGACGCUCAUGCACGAAAGCGUGGGGAGCAAACAGG